rnacentral:rRNA from 1 species
UACGAAGGGGGCGAGCGUUGUUCGGAAUUACUGGGCGUAAAGGGCGUGUAGGCGGCCCCUUUUGUCGCGUGUGAAAGCCCCCGGCUCAACUGGGGAGGGUCACGCGAUACUGAUCGACUCGAAGGCAGGAGAGGGUAGUGGAAUUCCCGGUGUAGUGGUGAAAUGCGUAGAUAUCAAGCGGAACACCAGUGGCGAAGGCGAGUCCCUGGACAACUCCUGACACUGAGGCACGAAAGCUAGGGGAGCAAACAGG